AACGAACGCUGGCGGCAUGCCUAACACAUGCAAGUCGAACGAGACCUUCGGGUCUAGUGGCGCACGGGUGCGUAACGCGUGGGAACCUGCCCUUAGGUUCGGAAUAACUCCCCGAAAGGGGUGCUAAUACCAGAUAAUGUCUUCGGACCAAAGAUUUAUCGCCUUUGGAUGGGCCCGCGUUGGAUUAGCUAGUUGGUAGGGUAAAAGCCUACCAAGGCGACGAUCCAUAGCUGGUCUGAGGGGAUGAUCAGCCACACUGGGACUGAGACACGGCCCAGACUCCUACGGGAGGCAGCAGUGGGGAAUAUUGGACAAUGGGCGAAAGCCUGAUCCAGCAAUGCCGCGUGAGUGAUGAAGGCCUUAGGGUUGUAAAGCUCUUUUACCCGGGAUGAUAAUGACAGUACCGGGAGAAUAAGCUCCGGCUAACUCCGUG
rnacentral:rRNA from 1 species